rnacentral:rRNA from 1 species
UACCGAGGGUGCGAGCGUUAAUCGGAAUUACUGGGCGUAAAGCGCACGUAGUCGGCUUUGCAAGUCGGGUGUGAAAUCCCCGGGCUCAACCUGGGAACUGCAUCCGAGACUGCAUUGCUAGAGUAUGGGAGAGGGAAGCGGAAUUUCUGGUGUAGCAGUGAAAUGCGUAGAUAUCAGAAGGAACAUCAGUGGCGAAGGCGGCUUCCUGGACCAAUACUGACGAUCAGGUGCGAAAGCGUGGGGAGCAAACAGG